rnacentral:misc_RNA from 1 species
CAAUCCAGAUGGAAUUCAUGGCCGCAUUGGAGCUUAGCUCUGGAUCUGCCCCCAUUAUCCGAUAUCGUAUCAAGGCAAAUCGAGCACGAAACCCCAGAAGAAGAAGGGUCGUCCUCAUCCGAAGCGUGGUGAAGAUGAUGAUGAUGAUCGGCGUCACCGUCCAUCAGUUGGUGAUGAUAUUGUUGACGAUGAGAUCAGUGGUGGCUUUUGUUGAGCCCACCAUGUCCUCCUUCCCUUCACAGACACCAACAAUUUAAAAAAAAAAA